AAUGUUUUUAUUCGUGCAAUGGUAAGAAUAUUUUCAUUCGGUGAAAGAUGGAAUGUUCCAUUCAACGAGGAUGGAACAUUCCAUCUUUCACCGAAUGAAAAUAUUCUUACCAUUGCACAAAUAAAAACAUUC